AUGUAUGAGCUCAACGAAAGCAGCUUCGACCCCAUCACCUUCGUCCUGACCGGCAUCCCGGGCAUGGAGGAGUCCCACAUCUGGAUCUCUGUCCCUUUCUGUCUGAUGUACAUCACCGCACUGAUCAGCAACUCUGUCCUCCUCUUCGUCAUCGCCACGGAGCGGAGCCUCCACGAGCCCAUGUACCUCUUCCUCGCCAUGCUGGCCGUGUCCGACCUGAUGCUCUCAACCACGACGGUGCCCAAAAUGCUGGCCAUCUUCUGGUUCAGCGCCCGCGAGAUUUCCUUCGAUGCCUGCAUUACUCAGAUGUUCUUCACCCACUUCAGCUUCAUCGUGGAGUCGUCCGUCCUGCUGGCCAUGGCCUUCGACCGCUACGUGGCCGUCUGCGACCCGCUGCGCUACGCGUCCACGUUGACCCCCUCGGUGAUCGGGAAGAUGGCACUGACUGCGGUGCUCCGGGGCUUCUGCAUCAUGUUCCCUCCCAUCUUCCUGCUGAAGCGGCUGCCCUACUGCGGGCACAACGUCAUGCCCCACACCUACUGCGAGCACAUGGGCAUCGCCCGCCUGGCCUGCGCCGACAUCAGGGCCAAUGUCUGGUACGGGCUGACCACGGCGCUGCUGUCCUCUGGGCUGGACACCCUGAGCACCUGCGGCUCCCACCUCUGCGUCAUCCUCAUGUUCUACACGCCCGCCUUCUUCUCCUUCCUCACGCACCGCUUUGGCCACAGCAUUCCAGGCCACGUCCACAUCCUGUUGGCCAACCUCUACGUCGUGGUCCCACCGAUGCUCAACCCCAUUGUGUACGGGGUGAGGACGCGGCAGAUCCGUGAGCGCGUGGUCCGCCUGCUC
rnacentral:lncRNA from 1 species